AACGUAAACAAAAAAGCUGGGU
rnacentral:piRNA from 1 species